rnacentral:lncRNA from 1 species
CUGAGGUGCUGCCAGGUCCCGAGGGCAGGUCCCACCCUCUUCCUCGUCACCAUCACAGUGCCAGCCGGGAGUGUCAUUCGCCUGAGCGCCCGAUGGCCUCUUCCUUGGCGAGGUGCCAGCCUUGGCCCCUGGAGGCUUCCUGCCUGGAGCUGCCAGGCUAGGAGGUGAGGGGUUGAGGACCCGUCCCAUGGGGAGUCACUGAGGGCCAGCAGGCGCCUUGUCUCUGCUGUCAGCCCUUCAAGGUGACCCCAUCCCUCCCAGGAGGCUGUGCUGUCACUCUGUGUUCCCCAGUGCCCCUGUCCUAACCUUCCUGCUGACACCGGGAUUCCUGGGGACCCCAAACCCAGCCAGACUCAGCAAUGACUCCAGCUCGGAAACCUCUUCCCCCUUUGGUUUUUUGAGACAGAGUCCAUGUAGCCCAGGCUGGCCUUGAGCUUACAGUGACCCUCCUGCCUCAGCCUCUUGUGGGCUGGGAUAAUAGGCGUGCACCGUGCUCUGUUUGCAGGGUGCCCAAGGGACAGGACUCAGGACCACUUGUGUGAGCUGUGGCACACACUGGUGCGCAGCCCAGGCUGGGCUUGAGUGCCAGGAGCAUAGGUGUGCAGCUGGCUGCUUUUGACUGUUAGUUAACAAUAAGGAUGACCAAUGUGGCUGCAGCUGCCUCGUGAGCGAUCUAGACACCUGCAGUUCUGGGACUGAGCCCAGGGCCUUUCCACUGAGCUGCGUCCCAGCCCUUUUAGUUUUUUACUUUGAGAUAAGGUCUGGCUAAGUCACUAAGUUGCCCAGCCUGGCCUCAAACUUGUGAUCCUCCUGCCUCAGCCUCCCAGUGUUGGGAUGACAGGCAUGUGCUCCCACUCCCAGCUAGGUGUAGGCAAUGCUAAUAGAGCCAUGUGGCUUCCCCGGGGAUGUUUGGGGCUGGGGAUGCUGAGAGAGGUGGCAGGGACAGGAGCAGAGCUUGGGACGCGGGGCCCGGUGGGGACUAGCCUGGGACUCACAGGGCCUGGGAAAACAGCACAAGCUCAGCCACAGACUGGAACCGGCAAAGGACUGAGCAGGACAAGGAGGUGGGGUUCUCCAAACUGCAAGUCCUAACUCUAGUUUAUACGGCCACAGUUGCCAGGGAUUUAGCUCAGUGGUUCUGCCGCCUGCCUUGCAAGUGCAAGGUACCGAGUUUGAUCCCUGGUACCAACCCCCCCCCCAAAAACAAAAAAAG